UACAGAGGUCUCAAGCGUUGUUCGGAUUCAUUGGGCGUAAAGGGUGCGUAGGUGGCGCCAUAAGUCGGGUGUGAAAUCUCGGGGCUUAACUCCGAAACUGCAUUCGAUACUGUGGUGCUUGAGGACUGGAGAGGAGACUGGAAUUCAUGGUGUAGCAGUGAAAUGCGUAGAGAUCAUGAGGAAGACCAGUGGCGAAGGCGGGUCUCUGGACGGUUCCUGACACUGAGGCACGAAGGCCAGGGGAGCAAACGGG
rnacentral:rRNA from 1 species